CUAUCUCUUUUCAAUGUCUCCUACUCUACACAUAAAGAGUGGGGGGAUCGUUAAAAAACAAAAUGUCGGGUAUUGUACUAAAGCUACUAAAGCUCUCGAGUCCGGCAAAAAUACGUAUUCAACAAAACUUAAAAGAAAGAAUGCGAAAUAAAUUGUUACAGAUUUUUGAUGCAGUGAGAUAGAGAACAAACUAACGGACAUGAAUAAAAUAUUUAUUCCACGUCUAUCGGUAUCAAAAAAUUUCCAGUAUAUUAUUUUCAUUCAAUAUAUUCUAUCCGAAUAAAAUUUUAUUUGCGUGGUUUUUGCACUCUUAUAGCAAAAUAAUAUGACCGAAUUAUUGUUUGCUGUCAAGUUCGUUGAUGACACCUGCCAGUUGUCAGUAAGAAAGGUAUCUCGAUUUUUCAAUUUUUUAAAAAUAAAUAUCCAUAAAAAUGGUUAUUUUUAAUUCUAAAAAUAUGCGUCAUUGUAUUAAAUAUUGCAUACUUAUUAACAGCAGCUCCUAAAUUAUUAGUAUAUAAUAAACGUAUAUUUGUUCAAAAUAAACUUAUAAUUUAUAAGUAUUACUUUAAAAAAAUACUAAUUAAAUAUACUUGAUCAUAAAUAUCAUCCUAUACGUUACUUAUUUACUAUAAAUUAAUUUUAUCUGUAUUUAUUAAACUGGUCUCUCGAUAAAUUGUUCAAAUUUCGCGCCCAUGAAGCCGCCAUUUUUUCUCGAGUAGCGGGAACAGGAGAAAGUGUCCGUUUAAAAACAAAGUCAGAUGACUAAUUACAAUAUUAAAAAAUGGCUUGCAGGCACACCGUCAAAAGUAAAAAUUUCAGAAGUAUACCAACUUCAGAAACUCACAGCUAUGAAUGUAAAAAAUAAAGAUGGUUCAUAAUUCAGAAUGACAAAUUAUCACCUUGUCAAAAACAUCGAAUCUCUAAUCUUUAUAUCAGCACAUACUCAGAAUUUACAAUAUUUAUUCUUUCGUAAUAAAGAAUUAACAAUAUUUAGAAUGACAAUAUUUCAGAAAUCCAAUACUUCCGAAAUUUCAAACUACGAACGCCAAUUCUUCAGAAUUACAUUUUAUACGAAUGACCAUUUUAGUAAAAUUUUUUAAGCUUUGCUGACAGUCGGUAUUACAGACUUUCCCUAUGAAUUUACCAUUAUCAUGUGAGUGCUUUGGCGGAUUGAUUGUGUUUAAAAAAUUUGUAUGAAUCGUUGUGUGUAAUAAUUAUAUAUGAAUUUAACGAGUUUCAUUUGUAUGAAACGAUUCAAGUGAAUGUACUUAAUUAAGUUAGAAGUGCUAUUUGUGGCCAGUGUUUUAUUUUUAGACCUUUAAUAUUUUAUUUUUAUUAAUGGAGAAGUAUAAAAAAAAAAAAAAUUUCAUUCUAAUACAGUAAAAAAAAUGCCCUUUCAAUGAAUUAAAAAAAAUUCAUUAUAUCAUUACCUACCUUGCGUAUUAUUUUAUUAAAAUUUUUGAAGUAACCAAAACUAUUGCAACCAAAUAUAUUGCAAUUAUAUAGAAUUGUAUAUAAUUAUAUAGACUUGUAUACAUUUUGUAUAAAAUUGUAUACCAUUUUUAUACAGUUGUAUACAAUGGGAUCGGGCCAUUUUUUGUAUAUAAUUUUAUACAAUUGUAUAAAAUCUUUUUUCAUCGGGUAUUAUUAAAACUGAAUUAUUAUAUUUUAAUUAUCAUCAAAUCUUAAUUAUUAUCAUAUCAUAAUGAUUAUAUAUCAUAUAUCUAAUAUUAUAAUCUAAUAUAAAAUAGAUUUUCAAAUUUCCCGCGAAAUUAAAUGAUCAUUUUUUUUAUUUAAUAAAAUUUUUGUUGACAUUAAAAACAAAAAUUAUUAAUUUAAAAAAUAAUUUUUUGUAAAAUUUCAAAUUUUUUGCCGCCAUUUUCAUAACCUCGAAAAUAAACGAGUUUAAUAAGUAAAAAAUUAAUAAAAGAUUUUCAAUUUUGUCUUGAAAAGUUUAAUUUUUUAUUUUAUACUUUUGAAUUUUCUUAUAAUUAAAUUUUUAAUUGAUGAUUUUCAAUGGUACUUUGGUGUAUGAAUAAUGAAUAUCGACUUUAAUCAAUCGAUGACCAAUCUUUAGUUUCUUUAUCGAUUGUCAAUAUUUAUCAAUCGAUAUGUAGGAUUUUUAAAUGAUCCUGAAUUCAACAAACAGUUAACAAUUUUUAAAUUUUAUUUUCAACUAAUCAAUUACAAAAAAUUAAAAAACUAUAUAUACAUAUGUAAAAAGUUUAAAAAACUAUAAGUUCAGUUUUUGAAAAUAUUUUUUUUUUAUAAUUUAUCGUUUUUAAUGUAUUAUAUGUCAGCUUAAGCAAUUACUUCAGUGUCAUAUUUUUAAUUGAG